UCAUUCUAUUUAAUGGAAGGUUUACAAAUACAGGUUCUCCUGGUCCUUGAACCAUUCUCAGCAUCAGCAGGACACAUCAGUGUGUAGUCAAUGCCCAGGUAUCCUCACAUAAUAGCUGUGCCUGCAGUUCUUCAAUGCCCCAGAAAGUUCAUUUCCCCUCUGGGCCACAGAUCCUCUGGUGCCUCCUACAUCCCUUCCCCACCCAUCUGCAUCCUGCCCUGUGCCCCAAGAGGGGCAUCUCUAGGAACUGCAUCAAGGGGAUCUACCUUACCUUGCAGGUUCCAGUUGUAGUUAGCCAAUAAGAAGCACUGGAAGGACACUGGGCUAUAGGAGGUAAGUGAGGUCUGAGUUUAUUCUCACGCCUCCCUCCCAGCAGGGUCUUUGUAAGUUAGCUGCAGCCUCCCACCCAGCAGUUAGAUCGAGACCCUGGUAGCUGCUCCCCCUGUUUGUUCCUCGAACCUAGAGGUUAUAAUGGCUCCCACUGUUAUAACUCAGGGUUAGCAACACAGGGUGUGGCCAGGUACAGCUUACUUAAACCCUACUUAACCUCUGUAAAUACAGUAUUAAACUCUCUUCAAAUCACCUAGUUCGAGGUGCCAUUUAUUUCUUGCAGGACCUGACUGCUACCACCAUCCCAUGGCAGAUAGGUUUCAGCUCCCAGGCUGAUUCUGUCGAUUGGAAGGAGCUACUUGGAGCAUUUUUUGUGAAAUAUCCUAAGACCUCAUCCAGGGGUUUGGUGAUUGGUGGGUUGUGAUUGACUGGGUGCGUGAUGGAGAAGAGUCAUUCUCACACCAAGUGUUGGCAAUCCCUCUUCUAGUUUUUAACCAUCAUCCCAUGCCCAGAUUCUUGGAAGAUUUAAAACCAAGCAGAGGGAGAUUUGUUACAAGUGGGCAGUCUGACAACAGGACAGAAUUGUGGUUGACAGACUAGCAGAGAGGAGCCUGAAAGGAAAGCUUAAAAAGAAAGUGAACAUACAAGGAUUUCCCAUUGUGGCACAGUGGAAACAAAUCCAACUAGGAACCAUGAGAUUGUGGGUUCGAUCCCUGCCCUCGCUCAGUGGGUUAAGGAUCCGGCAUUGUCGUAAGCUGUGAUGUAGGUGGUAGACACGACUCGGAUCCUGAGUUGCUGUGGCUAUGGUGUAGGCUGGCAGCUGUAGCUCCGAUUUGACCCCUAGCCUGGGAAUCUCCAUAUGCUGUGGGUUCAGCCCU
ensembl:lncRNA